rnacentral:rRNA from 1 species
UACGUAGGUGGCAAGCGUUGUCCGGAUUUAUUGGGUUUAAAGGGUGCGUAGGUGGUCAAUUAAGUCAGCGCUGAAAUAUCCCGGCUUAACCGGGAGGGUGGCAUUGAUACUGAUUGACUUGAGUGGAGUUGAGGUAGGCGGAAUUGACGGUGUAGCGGUGAAAUGCUUAGAUAUCGUCAAGAACACCGAUAGCGAAGGCAGCUUACCAAGCUCAAACUGACACUGAUGCACGAAAGUGUGGGGAGCAAACAGG